CCUACGGGAGGCUGCAGUGAGGAAUAUUGGUCAAUGGCCGGAAGGCUGAACCAGCCAUGCCGCGUGAAGGUCAGUGCCCUAUGGGCGUUAAACUUCUUUUGUGCGGGAGCAAUAAUGGUCACGUGUGGCCAGACGAGAGUACCGUACGAAUAAGCAUCGGCUAACUCCGUGCCAGCAGCCGCGGUAAUACGGGGGAUGCAAGCGUUAUCCGGAUUUAUUGGGUUUAAAGGGUGCGUAGGCUGUGAGGUAAGUCAGCGGUUAAAUGCCCGCGCUCAACGGGGUGAAGUGCCAUUGAUACUGCCUUGCUGGAAUGCGGAUGCCGUGGGAGGAAUGUGUGGUGUAGCGGUGAAAUGCAUAGAUAUCACACAGAACACCGAUUGCGAAGGCAUCUCACGAAUCCGCGAUUGACGCUGAUGCACGAAAGCGUGGGUAUCAAACAGGAUUAGAUACCCGAGUAGUC
rnacentral:rRNA from 1 species